rnacentral:piRNA from 1 species
AGAAAAAUUGAUGUUACCAA